rnacentral:lncRNA from 1 species
GUUUGUAUAAUAAUAACAUACUGCAGGAGGAGAGAGAGGCAGUGUGUUGAUAUGCUGUUUGUAUAAUAACAACAUACUGCAGGAGAGAGGCAGUGUGAGUAAAGAGUUAAUGAGAUAAGCGUAUAGUAAUAUUGUGGAUACAUGUUGUCAGUUCAUCAGUGGAAGGAGGUUUAUCAGGAUGUGUUAAAAUGAACCAGGGUGGUGCGACGUUAAAGAGGUUUAUCAGGAUGUGUUAAAAUGAACCAGGGUGGUGCGACGUUAAAGAGGUUUAUCAGGAUGUGUUAAAAUGAACCAGGGUGGUGCGACGUUAAAGAGGUUUAUCAGGAUGUGUUAAAAUGAACCAGGGUGGUGCGACGUUAAAGAGGUUUAUCAGGAUGUGGAUGUGAAGAUGAGGAUGUUUAUCAGGAUGUGGCUGUGAAGAUGAGGAGGUUUAUCAGGAUGUGUUCAAAUGAACCAGGGUGGUGCGACGUUAAAGAGGUUUAUCAGUAUGUGGAUGUGAAGAUGAGGAUGUUUAUCAGGAUGUGGCUGUGAAGAUGAGGUUAUUCAGGAUGUGGCUGUGAAGUAGAGGAGGUUAAACAGGAUGUGGCUGUGAAGGUGAGGACGUUUAUCAGGAUGUGGCUGUGAAGAUGAGGAGGUUUAACAGGAUGUGGCUGUGAAGAUGAGGUCGCUUAACAGGAUGUGGCUGUGAAGGUGAGGACCUUUUAUCAGGAUGUGGCUGUGAAGAUGAGGACGUUUAUCAGGAUGUGGCUGUGAAGAUGAGGAGGUUUAUCAGGAUGUGGCUGUGAAGAUGAGGAGGUUUAUCAGGAUGUGGCUGUGAAGAUGAGGAUGUUUAAUAUUCACCUGAAGUUAGCCCUAACGUUCAUAACAACACCAAGGGAACACACACAAGCACAGGCACAUGCACGCACGCACGUACGCACGUACCAUAUUUACCAUCGUUUCAUUACAUUAUCCUAUUUCAGCUGCACCUCUCCAGUCCUUCUCUACAGAACCUCAAUCCAGCUGUUGGUCAUUUAGGAAACAGCAUUGUGUCUGUCUGGUGUAACUCCCUGUGUGUCUGUCUGGUGUAACUCCCUG